rnacentral:rRNA from 1 species
UGGGGAAUUUUGCACAAUGGGGGAAACCCUGAUGCAGCGACGCCGCGUGGAGGAUGAAGGCCUUCGGGUUGUAAACUCCUUUUGUAGGGGAAAAUAGUGAUGGUACCCUAUGAAUAAGCCACGGCUAACUCUGUGCCAGCAGCCGCGGUAAGACAGAGGUGGCGAGCGUUGUUCGGAAUUACUGGGCUUAAAGGGCGAGUAGGCGGUGGGACAAGUCUGAUGUGGAAUCUUAGGGCUUAACCCUAAAAUUGCAUUAGAAACUGUUUUACUUGAGUCAGUGAGGGGAGGGCGGAAUUCCUGGUGUAGCGGUGAAAUGCGUAGAUAUCAGGAGGAAGGCCGGUGGCGAAGGCGGCCCUCUGGCACUGUACUGACGCUGAGGCGCGAAAGCGUGGGGAGCAAACAGG